rnacentral:rRNA from 1 species
UCGCUCCUACCGAUUGAAUGAUCCGGUGAAAUCAGUGGACUAUGAUGCAGUUUGAGAAAUCGGAUUGCGUCGUUGGGAAAUUGAUUAAACCUUAUCAUUUAGAGGAAGGAG